UGGGGAAUAUUGCACAAUGGGCGCAAGCCUGAUGCAGCCAUGCCGCGUGUAUGAAGAAGGCCUUCGGGUUGUAAAGUACUUUCAGUCGGGAGGAAGGUGUCAAGGUUAAUAACCUUGGCAAUUGACGUUACCGACAGAAGAAGCACCGGCUAACUCCGUGCCAGCAGCCGCGGUAAUACGGAGGGUGCAAGCGUUAAUCGGAAUUACUGGGCGUAAAGCGCACGCAGGCGGUUGAUUGAGUCAGAUGUGAAAUCCCCGGGCUCAACCUGGGAACUGCCUCUGAUACUGGCAAGCUUGAGUCUCGUAGAGGGGGGUAGAAUUCCAGGUGUAGCGGUGAAAUGCGUAGAGAUCUGGAGGAAUACCGGUGGCGAAGGCGGCCCCCUGGACGAAGACUGACGCUCAGGUGCGAAAGCGUGGGGAGCAAACAGG
rnacentral:rRNA from 1 species